AGACUAUACUAUAGCAUAUGUGGUACUCUCACAAAAGUAUCAGUUCAACAACUUGUUUAGAGUAGCCGUGAGAAAUGUUAUGCCUUCAUCAAUUGUCUUUUGAAUUUAAAUGUUUUAUAGAACAUUUACAUAAUAUACUACCUCAUAAAGCGUUCAACAAAAUCGAAAUUACAGGAUAUUUGAAUAAAAAGUACAAAUAUUUGCAUUUAAAGACCUUCAAAAUAGAUCGCGUGUCGUCAAAUUACAAAAACAAGAGAUCAAUUACUUGGAUUACAGACAAGUAUAAUAUGUUUAUUUAUGAAGGUUUGCAAAUACGAAGGUUGAUUCGCGCCAAUUAUUAAUAAGAAAAGAAUUUAAAUAAUUAUAACUGUCAUAAAUAUCUGUUCUCAUAUUGUAAUGCAUGUUUAGAAUUAAAAAAAGGAGUGUAAUUGAAAUUACGACGACCAUUCAACUGACAUCAAAUUACGUGGAUAUUAGCGACUAUAUGUCAACGUAUGAAGUAAGUUUGAUUUUAUUUCAGAGCAUACAACUAGCCGACUGUUUCAGCUAUGGUAUUGGUAGAAAAUGAUUCAAAUGAAACCUUAUAUGUAAAGGCUACUCGACAUCAGGACUUAUCAGUGCAAAAAAGGAUUGGGUUUGUAGUGCACGCGUGUGGUGAGGAAAGAAUUGAACAUGCAAAUAAGGAAAGUGAAUGGCAUUGUUUACAAAAUAAUGACUAUACUCAAAUUGCACAUAAGAGCGUAUUACAGUUUAGCCCAGUAGCUGACAAUACAACUAUCUAUAUCACAAUAAAAGCUCAACAACAAGUAAUUUGUGAUAGCCUUCCUCUUCGGAACAAACUAGAUGUCGUUGUAAAAAUUAUAGGUGAAUUAGUGUUUGUUCGGAAUCCCAAAAGAAAGAAACAAAUGAUUUAUAGAUACAACAUAAAACCAGGUUGUAAAAGGGAAGCUGACAAUGAUCUAAAGGCAAAAAUUGAAGACAUUGAGUGGGAAUUUAAGAAAAUACAAGCUGACAACGCACACAAUAUCGAGAAGAAGAUCCACAGUUGGGAAACUAAUCGCAGGUACCAGUUGACAUUUAAAACUUGCAACUUUCAAAACCGAUAUAAUAAUAGGGUGUAUAAUGGUUGUAGGGAGAAAAUAUUCCAUAAGGUUAGGUCAGAUACCGAAUGUAAAGAGAAAACAACUCGCAUUGGAAUAAUUGCCAUAAGCGAGAGAAGUUCAGCAGAUUUUGUCAGAUCAUUGAUAUUUGAAUUAGAACAAAAUCGUGAUAUAAAUGUUAGAUAUUUCAAAAUUGACAGAGAUGAUUAUAUCAACAGAGUCAAGCUCCAUGUUUACGAAAUUCUACUCGAUAUUGAACAGUUCGAUGUACAGAACCUACGAAAAGUACAUUGGCCAGAAGAGGUUGCCGAAUAUUAUCAGUGGGAUUAAAGAAAACAUUCAUAACAGUAAAAUAUAAACUUUUUAUUCAUAUUUGAAAUUAUAGUAUGAAGAAAUGUGCAUUUAAUCCAUUAGACAAUAAAUAAUAUGUUUGUUUUAA